rnacentral:tRNA from 1 species
GGCCGCGUAGCCAAGCGGUUAAGGCAGCGGUUUGCAAAACCGCCAUGCGGCGGUUCGAAUCCGCCCGCGGCCUCCA